rnacentral:lncRNA from 1 species
GUAGUCGCGGAGACGGGGUGCUGGUUUGCGUCGUAGUCUCCUGCAGCGUCUGGGGUUUCCGUUGCAGUCCUCGGAACCAGGACCUCGGCGUGGCCUAGCGAGUUAUGGCGACGAAGGCCGCUGUACCAGUGCAGGUCCUCACUUUAAUCCUCUAUCCAGAAAACACGGUGGGCCAAAGGAUGAAGAGAGGUCCAUGAAAAAGCAGAUGACUUGGGCAAAGGUGGAAAUGAAGAAAGUACAAAGACAGGAAACGCUGGAAGUCGUUUGGCUUGUGGUGUAAUUGGGAUCGCCCAAUAAACAUUCCCUUGGAUGUAGUCUGAGGCCCCUUAACUCAUCUGUUAUCCUGCUAGCUGUAGAAAUGUAUCCUGAUAAACAUUAAACACUGUAAUCUUAAAAGUGUAAUUGUGUGACUUUUUCAGAGUUGCUUUAAAGUACCUGUAGUGAGAAACUGAUUUAUGAUCACUUGGAAGAUUUGUAUAGUUUUAUAAAACUCAGUUAAAAUGUCUGUUUCAAUGACCUGUAUUUUGCCAGACUUAAAUCACAGAUGGGUAUUAAACUUGUCAGAAUUUCUUUGUCAUUCAAGCCUGUGAAUAAAAACCCUGUAUGGCACUUAUUAUGAGGCUAUUAAAAGAAUCCAAAUUCAAACU